GCUAUUGGUGGUACAGCGGCAAGCAUAGCUGCCUUCUAAGCAGUUGACCCGGGUUUGAUUCCCAGCCAACGCA